UACAGAGGGUGCGAGCGUUAAUCGGAUUUACUGGGCGUAAAGCGUGCGUAGGCGGCUUUUUAAGUCGGAUGUGAAAUCCCUGAGCUUAAUUUAGGAAUUGCAUUCGAUACUGGGAAGCUAGAGUAUGGGAGAGGAUGGUAGAAUUCCAGGUGUAGCGGUGAAAUGCGUAGAGAUCUGGAGGAAUACCGAUGGCGAAGGCAGCCAUCUGGCCUAAUACUGACGCUGAGGUACGAAAGCAUGGGGAGCAAACAGG
rnacentral:rRNA from 1 species